UUGAGGUAGCAAGAGAGCGGAAGGGUACAGCUAACACCCAAUGUGUCAAGUUCAUGUGGUUUAAUUAUAAUCAGCGUGAGCAUUCAAUGAAAUUUACAUGCGUGUCUGAUGCUUCACCACCGCUAACGGACAAAUGACUGCCACCGCCGUUGUUGUGCGCUAUAUACCGUAUAUCCUGAAAAUAAAUAGAAUUACUGCACUUGUGAAAGUGAGAGCAGGAACUCAUGUGGUGUUUGGGCCAGCCAGCCAGCCAGCCUGCCAACUAGGACAGGCAGCGCGGGGUGAUCUCCCUUCAGCAAGUUGAACCUCUUAUGGAUUUGGAAGAAGAACACUGAAGGGAGACAUUUCACCAAUACAGUCGCAACAAUCACCACUGCCCAAG